GAUGAACGCUAGCGGCAGGCCUAACACAUGCAAGUCGAGGGGUAGAGGGUGCUUGCACCCUUGAGACCGGCGCACGGGUGCGUAACGCGUAUGCAACCUACCUAUUGCAGGGGAAUAGCCCAGGGAAACUUGGAUUAAUGCCCCAUAGUCCAUAUUGAGAGCAUUUGAGAUAUGGUAAAGAUUCAUCGGCAAUAGAUGGGCAUGCGUCCCAUUAGCUAGUUGGUAUGGUAACGGCAUACCAAGGCUACGAUGGGUAGGGGCCCUGAGAGGGGGAUCCCCCACACUGGUACUGAGACACGGACCAGACUCCUACGGGAGGCAGCAGUGAGGAAUAUUGGACAAUGGGCGGGAGCCUGAUCCAGCCAUGCCGCGUGCAGGAAGACUGCCCUAUGGGUUGUAAACUGCUUUUUUACGGGAAGAAACACCCCCACGUGUGGGGGCUUGACGGUACCGUACGAAUAAGGACCGGCUAACUCCGUGCCAGCAGCCGCGGUAAUACGGAGGGUCCGAGCGUUAUCCGGAAUCAUUGGGUUUAAAGGGUCCGUAGGCGGGCGUCUAAGUCAGUGGUGAAAUCUCGCGGCUCAACCGUGAAAUUGCCAUUGAUACUGGUCGCCUUGAAUUAGUGUGAAGUGGCUAGAAUAUGUAAUGUAGCCGGNGAAAUGCUUANAUAUUACAUANAAUACCGAUUGCNAAGGCAGGGCACUAACACUAUAUUGACGCUGAUGGACNAAAGCCUGGGGGAGCGNAACAGGAAUUANAUACCCU
rnacentral:rRNA from 1 species